UGUGGGAGCUGGCUUGCCUGCGAUGGCGCUGUAUCAGCCACCCGGUCUAUCCCUGACAGACCGCCAUCGCAGGCAAGCCAGCUCCCACA
rnacentral:antisense_RNA from 1 species